rnacentral:rRNA from 1 species
GCCUACGACCAUAUCACCCAGAAUGCGCACGAUCUCGUCUGAUCUCGGAAGCUAAGCAGGGUCGAGCUUGGAUAGUACUUGGAUAGAGACUGCCUGGGAAUACCAGGUGUUGUAGGCA